UUGGUCAUUUAGAGGAAGUAAAAGUCGUAACAAGGUUUCCGUAGGUGAACUGCGGAAGGAUCAUUAACGAGUUAGGGUCUCUUUGGCCCGACCUCCCAACCCUUUGUCUACUUGACCAUCGUUGCUUCGGCGAGCCCGUCCUCACGGACCGCCGGAGGGACCUUCACAGGCCCUCUGGCCCGCGCUCGUCGGUGGCCCAACCUUUAAAAUCUUAACUAAACGUGCCUUAAUCUAAGUACAAUUAUUAAAUUAAAGCAAAACUUUCAACAACGGAUCUCUUGGUUCUGGCAUCGAUGAAGAACGCAGCGAAAUGCGAUAAGUAAUGCGAAUUGCAGAAUUCCAGUGAGUCAUCGAAUCUUUGAACGCACAUUGCGCCCGCCAGUAUUCUGGCGGGCAUGCCUGUCUGAGCGUCAUUUCAACCCUCACGCCCCUAGGGCGUGGUGUUGGGGAUCGGCCAGCGCCCUCGCGGGCGAGGCCGUCCCCUAAAUCUAGUGGCGGACCCGUCGUGGCCUCCCCUGCGAAGUAGUGAUAUUCCGCAUAGGAGAGCGACGAGCCCCUGCCGUUAAACCCCCAACUUUCUCAGGUUGACCUCAGAUCAGGUAGGAAUACCCGCUGAACUUAAGCAUAUCAAUAAGCGGAGGAAAAGAAACCAACAGGGAUUGCCCCAGUAACGGCGA
rnacentral:rRNA from 1 species